AUUGAACGCUGGCGGCAUGCUUUACACAUGCAAGUCGAACGGCAGCGCGGGCUUCGGCCUGGCGGCGAGUGGCGAACGGGUGAGUAAUGCAUCGGAACGUGCCCAGUAGUGGGGGAUAGCCCGGCGAAAGCCGGAUUAAUACCGCAUACGACCUGAGGGUGAAAGCGGGGGACCGAAAGGCCUCGCGCUAUUGGAGCGGCCGAUGUCGGAUUAGCUAGUUGGUGGGGUAAAGGCUUACCAAGGCGACGAUCCGUAGCUGGUCUGAGAGGACGACCAGCCACACUGGGACUUAGACACGGCCCCGACUCCCACGGGAGGGAGGCGUUGGGAAUUUUUGACCAUGGGGGGAACCCCUGUCCCGCCCUGGCGCCUGGGGGAAGGAGGGCUUCCGGUUUGUAAACCGUUUUUGUCCGGAAGAAAAUCCUCGGGGCUAAUCCCCCGGGGGGUUACCGUUCCCGAAGAAUUAGGCCCCGCCUACCUCCUU
rnacentral:rRNA from 1 species